UUUGGUGGCUGACUUAUAUAUAUAUACUUUUGGUGGAUCCUAAACGUAUGUGGUUAGGUGGAAUUGUAACAUGGAUUCUGAGCAACUAGGUCAAGAAUGUAGACUUCAGAAAUGACAGUGCCAAAUAGACUCCCUCAAGUUCUUAUGAACCUAUUGAAGUUGAGGUUUCACUGGUCCUCAAGCCAUCCUUCUUUCUGCCCAUCCUCCAGUAUCGUAUGUUUGGCCUUCAGAGAGAAUCACGGUAAAACAUCCAACCCUCAAUUCUAGCAAUAGGAACACAGGAAAGUAGAUAGUGUAGUACUGCUAUCAAAUAGGACUAGAGAAUUCUAUAGUCAUUAUGUCAUUUGCUUUGCUGAAAAUGGAAUUGGAAACAGAAUUUUUGAGUGCACAUACAGGAAUAUUAAUAAAGUCUCAUCGUGGAAUGUACAAUGAGAAAGUGAAAUACAAUAUUCAUUCAAUUAAGGUCUGUAGGCAAAAUAUUGUCCUUUGGGAUAUAGAGAAAACCUGGGAUAUUGAACUGUAUGUCACAGGAAUGAACAUGGGAAAAAUAUUAUCUAGAAGAAUCUCCUCCACUCUAUGUUGCUAAAUCUUUUCUAGCCAUGCUCAGCCCCUAACUUUGUCCAUUCAGAGCAAGUAACCCCUAAUGAAACAAAGAGAAAUCUCUACCUUUAGAGAGAUGUAGUGUGUAAAGGUUUCCACCCUUAAACAGGAGACUCUCCUGAAAGUGUCACCCUCAAAUUUGGUCAAUGUAAGGAAAGCUGUUUAGCAGGUAGACCAUGGCAGUUUUCAGUGACUUCAUUAGGCCUCGCUGAAAUAACUCUUAUAUCCUGGAAAGCCUUAGCUUCUUCUGUGAUGUCACAAGUGUCCUGACUGCAACCGCCUCUCAGGUAUCCCUUGAGGACCUCUAGGGUUCACUAAUUGGCCUUUAAUAUAUUGUAUACAGCCAUUUGAGAGGGAGAACACAGAGGAUGAAGUGAUCAGACAUGGGGAAUAUGAAGCUGGCCUUCUGUCUUGGGUAUGGACUGAAGAAACUGAAGGGGAGGGCAGCCUCUAUAGGAAGACCAACAGUCUCGAAUCAUCCCCACCCCUGAGAUCUCCCAGACACUAAGCCACCAACCAGGGUAUCUUUGAACUUGGGACAUCUUGCCUCAUUCUAGGUGCUGAGACUACAUUCAGGCAAUUUCCAGCUUUCUUUCCUUUAUCUUAGUAAGAUGUGUUAGAUCAAAUAUGUUAAUAUUAUGCAGUAAAUCCUCCAUAUGUUUACUUAUAGAACCUUGGCUUAGUGUCUGUUUCAUUCCUCUGCAAUGACUAUAUUAAUUUUAGAGUUCGCAGUUCUCUCUUUCUUUACACAAUUGAUCAGAUGUGUUUUUCUUUCAUAUAGAAUGAAUAAGAGCCUUUUAGUUUUUCUUUGAAUAGUUAAUGUACUAAGAAAAUGUGUUGAAAUUCCCAU